CAUGGUUAACGCACAUGAUGUAUCCCCCAUGAUAUACACAAAGGAGCUGCCGCUCAGUUGCUAAUGUUGAUUGCGCUACCCAUGGUAAUUGUGACGGACCACCUGGCACCCCGAGCAGGUACCUCCGUCUAUCGCUACUUCCUAGUACUUGCGAGAACCAUAAUCCCUGCACUGGAACACCAUAACCACUGUAGACCCCACGAACCGCUGCAGCUUGGUUGGGGUCUCGUCGUCCUCCAUCC